ensembl:snRNA U6 U6 spliceosomal RNA
GUACUUGCUUUGGCGUCACAUACACUGAAAUUGGAAUGAUACAGAGACAAUUAGCAUGACCCCUGUGUAAGGAUGACACUGAAAUUUGUAAAACUAUUCUUU